GAUGAACGCUGGCGGCGUGCCUAAUACAUGCAAGUCGAGCGAACAGACGAGGAGCUUGCUCCUCUGACGUUAGCGGCGGACGGGUGAGUAACACGUGGAUAACCUACCUAUAAGACUGGGAUAACUUCGGGAAACCGGAGCUAAUACCGGAUAAUAUAUUGAACCGCAUGGUUCAAUAGUGAAAGACGGUUUUGCUGUCACUUAUAGAUGGAUCCGCGCCGCAUUAGCUAGUUGGUAAGGUAACGGCUUACCAAGGCAACGAUGCGUAGCCGACCUGAGAGGGUUAUCGGCCACACUGGAACUGAGACACGGUCCAGACUCCUACGGGAGGCAGCAGUAGGGAAUCUUCCGCAAUGGGCGAAAGCCUGACGGAGCAACGCCGCGUGAGUGAUGAAGGUCUUCGGAUCGUAAAACUCUGUUAUUAGGGAAGAACAAAUGUGUAAGUAACUAUGCACGUCUUGACGGUACCUAAUCAGAAAGCCACGGCUAAAUACGUG
rnacentral:rRNA from 1 species